rnacentral:misc_RNA from 1 species
CAUGGCGGAGGAGGUGGGCAUCGGGCGACACCGCUCGGUGCGAUGCCUCCACGCUCUUCCUACCCUUGUCUAUUGGCACCCUUUGUCGUUCCCUCGGCGGGUCCUGAAUCCGCCGACGGGCAACUUUACAAAACCUUUUUUGCACUUAGCAUCCAAUUCUUCUGAUCAAAACGUUUAAAUCGUUA